rnacentral:rRNA from 1 species
GACGAACGCUGGCGGCGUGCCUAAUACAUGCAAGUAGAACGCUGAAGGAGGAGCUUGCUCUUCUGGAUGAGUUGCGAACGGGUGAGUAACGCGUAGGUAACCUGCCUGGUAGCGGGGGAUAACUAUUGGAAACGAUAGCUAAUACCGCAUAAGAGUAGAUGUUGCAUGACAUUUGCUUAAAAGGUGCAAUUGCAUCACUACCAGAUGGACCUGCGUUGUAUUAGCUAGUUGGUGGGGUAACGGCUCACCAAGGCGACGAUACAUAGCCGACCUGAGAGGGUGAUCGGCCAAACUGGGAAUGAGACACGGCCCAGACCCCUACGGGAGGCAGCAGUAGGGAAUCUUCGGAAAUGGACGGAAGUCUGACCGAGCAACGCCGCGUGAGUGAAGAAGGUUUUCGGAUCGUAAAGCUCUGUUGUAAGAGAAGAACGAGUGUGAGAGUGGAAAGUUCACACUGUGACGGUAUCUUACCAGAAAGGGACGGCUAACUACGUG